GUGAAGUAUGAGUUAGUGGCGGACGGGUGAGUAACGCGUGGAAAACCUGCCGUAUACUGGGGGAUAACACUUAGAAAUAGGUGCUAAUACCGCAUAAGCGCACAGCUUCGCAUGAAGCAGUGUGAAAAACUGAGGUGGUAUACGAUGGUUCCGCGUCUGAUUAGCUAGUUGGUGGAGUAAAAGCCUACCAAGGCAACGAUCAGUAGCCGGCCUGAGAGGGUGAACGGCCACAUUGGGACUGAGACACGGCCCAAACUCCUACGGGAGGCAGCAGUGGGGAAUAUUGCACAAUGGGGGAAACCCUGAUGCAGCGACGCCGCGUGAGUGAAGAAGUAUUUCGGUAUGUAAAGCUCUAUCAGCAGGGAAGAAAUACUGACCAUAGGGUCAGCAGACGGUACUUGACUAAGAAGCCCCGGCUAACUACGUGCCAGCAGCCGCGGUAAUACGUAGGGGGCAAGCGUUAUCCGGAUUUACUGGGUGUAAAGGGAGCGUAGACGGCAGCGCAAGUCUGAAGUGAAAUGCCAGGGCUUAACCCUGGAACUGCUUUGGAAACUGUGCAGCUAGAGUGCAGGAGAGGUAAGUGGAAUUUCUAGUGUAGCGGUGAAAUGCGUAGAUAUUAGGAGGAACACCAGUGGCGAAGGCGGCUUACUGGACUGUAACUGACGUUGAGGCUCGAAAGCGUGGGGAGCAAACAGGAUUAGAUACCCUGGUAGUCCACGCU
rnacentral:rRNA from 1 species